AUUGAACGCUGGCGGCAGGCCUAACACAUGCAAGUCGAGCGAGCGGCGGACGGGUGCGUAGUGCCUGGGUCUUGCCCAGUAGAGGGGGAUCACAGUUGGAAACGACUUCUAAUCCCGCAUACGAUUGGAUUGCCCAGGUGGGAUUAGCUAGUUGGUGGGGUAAUGGCUCACCAAGGCGACGAUCCCUAGCUGGUCUGAGAGGAUGAUCAGCCACACUGGAACUGAGACACGGUCCAGACUCCUACGGGAGGCAGCAGUGGGGAAUAUUGCACAAUGGGGGAAAGCCUGAUACAGCCAUGCCGCGUGUGUGAAGAAGGCCUUCGGGUUGUAAAGCACUUUCAGCGAGGAGGCGUUACUCGCAGAAGAAGCACCGGCUAACUCCGUGCCAGCAGCCGCGGUAAUUC
rnacentral:rRNA from 1 species